rnacentral:miRNA from 1 species
GGUGGGAUGGAUGGCAGAACCUGG